rnacentral:rRNA from 1 species
GAUGAACGCUAGCGGGAGGCCUAACACAUGCAAGCCGAGCGGUAUUGUUUCUUCGGAAAUGAGAGAGCGGCGUACGGGUGCGUAACACGUGUGCAACCUGCCUUUAUCUGGGGGAUAGCAUUUCGAAAGGAAGAUUAAUACUCCAUAAUAUAUUGAACGGCAUCGUUUAAUAUUGAAAGAUUCGGCGGAUAGAGAUGGGCACGCGUAAGAUUAGCUAGUUGGUGAGGUAACGGCUCACCAAGGCGAUGAUCUUUAGGGGGCCUGAGAUAGUGAUCCCCCACACUGGUACUGAGACACGUACCAUACUCCUACGGGAGGCAGCAGUGAGGAAUAUUGGUCAAUGGGUGCAAGCCUGAACCAGCCAUCCCGCGUGAAGGACGACUGCCCUAUGGGUUGUAAACUUCUUUUGUAUAGGGAUAAACCUACCCUCGUGAAGGUAGCUGAAGGUACUAUACGAAUAAGCACCAGCUAACUCCGUGCCAGCCGCCGCGUUAA